rnacentral:snoRNA from 1 species
AGAUUUUUAAUGUUCAUAAGCAUGAUGAGUGGUUUUCAUGUUCAUGUGUGUGCCUCCCUCAAACCUUGUUAUGAUUGUUAUGUUAUGUUAUGUCAACACACAUUGCCUAUCUGAUU